rnacentral:rRNA from 1 species
CAAUAAGCGGAGGAAAAGAAACUAACAAGGAUUCCCCUAGUAACGGCGAGUGAAGCGGGAAGAGCUCAAAUUUGAAAUCUGGCAGUCUUCGAUUGUCCGAGUUGUAAUCUAUAGAGGCGUUUUCCGUGCCGGACCGUGUCCAAGUCUCCUGGAAAGGAGUAUCAAAGAGGGUGAUAAUCCCGUACUUAACACGACCACCGGUGCUCUGUGAUACGUCUUCUACGAGUCGAGUUGUUUGGGAAUGCAGCUCAAAAUGGGUGGUGAAUUCCAUCUAAAGCUAAAUAUUGGCGAGAGACCGAUAGCGAACAAGUACCGUGAGGGAAAGAUGAAAAGCACUUUGGAAAGAGAGUUAAACAGUACGUGAAAUUGUUGAAAGGGAAACGAUUGAAGUCAGUCGUGUUCUUUGGAUUCAGCCAGUUCUGCUGGUCUACUUCCUUGGAACGGGUCAACAUCAGUUUUGUCCGGUGGAUAAAGGUAGUAGGAAUGUGACUUCUCCGGAAGUGUUAUAGCCUAUUAUCACAUACACUGGGUGAGACUGAG